rnacentral:tRNA from 1 species
CAGGACAUAGUUUAAUUAGAAUGUUGGCUUUGGGGGCCAGGGGUGAAGGUUGAAUUCCUUUUGUCUUGA